GUGUUCACUUCAUAGCACAUAUACUAAAAUUGGAACAAUACAGAGAUUAGCAUGGCCUCUGCAAAAGGAUGACACCCAAAUUUUUGGAACAUUCUAUAUUUUU
rnacentral:snRNA from 1 species